AUGAAACAUAGUGCAGGCAGUGUCUAGAAGUAUGAUGGAGUUUCAUUUUCCCCAUGUUCUCUUACUUUUUUUUAUAUUUGUUAUAUUUCAUAUCAGAAAUUUGACGGGCUCUCUAGAAUGUGACAACAUCAGUGGUUUGUGUUGUGCGAAUUACUAUAGAGAAAAUCACCAAUGCAAAGAAUGCCCAUUAGGAACAUAUGGUGUAAACUGCAGCUGGGCGUGCCCACAAGAUUACUUUGGACGAUUCUGUAAAAAAUCGUGUAACUGUUCCAUUCAUCAAUACUGUUCUCCGGCUUUUGGAUGUGUACAAAAAGAAAAUGUCACAGAAAAGUCAAUUAUUCUUGUAUCAAAUAGAACUGCAGGUUUGAACAACAUAUUACGAAAUUCUAAAAAUAUGUUUUACAACUUUACAUGAUUGAAGUAGUUUUUAAGAAUAAGUAAGACAAUAAAUUUAAUUGCAGUUAACUUGCAUGAAAUAUUUAAAGAACAAACUAUAUAUGAAAACGUGUUUAUGUAAGCGGAAUUGUUACACCAUGCAGGCUAUUUGUUAUUUUAAUUUUUGAAUUGCGAUGUGUAGGAGUGAAACGGGUGAUAAAUACAUUUUAUUAAUAUGUAAACGGUGUGACCGUUGGACCGAGCGCAGAUUUAACACAGUACAGUUUGAUUUUUGUAUGAUAAAAUCUAUUUAAAACGCACACAGUAGGACCCGCCUGCCUACUCAUACCAUUAUUCGUCAAAGUUAAACUAAACGUCGCGUGCUCAGUCUACAUUAUGACGUCAUAUUUCAGACGUAAAACGGUCAAGUUUUGUCUUUGGAAAUAGCCGAAGAGAGUUACGUGAUUCCGAAUUUUUUUUGUUUCUUUAUUUAUUGUUCAUCAAUUUAAUUCAUAUGAAUGCCGCUGUAAUAAAAUUGCAUACUUUGUUCAGUGUCUAAAAGAUCAGUUCCUUGACGUUAAUGUUUUUAUUUUCCAUCUGAUAAUUGGAUAAGACAUACAUAGAACAAGUCGUGUUUCUUGAUAAAAGCUCCAUUGAAACUUAUCUGGUUUCCUUUUUAAUUUCUUUUAAUUCAAAUUACCUUCUAUUGAAACACUGGAACUUCUUAAAUCGAGUUUAGGGGCAAUAAACAUCGGUAAGUACCAGUCAAUCAAUGAUCGAAUUAACUUUUUAAAAACAAAAUGGCUGCCAAUAUGGCGGCGCCCAUGGCUGGAAGAAUUUUUUUUUUGCCUUAGUACCCCUGAUUCAACAUUCAUUUUUCACUGAUUCUCUUACAUAUACGUGUUACCAUUAAUCCUCGCUUCGCGAGGCGGGCUUCGCCCGCCUCUCGCUGCGCUCGGUAUUAUUAGUUACAGCAUGCUAGUACAAACUGUAAGAAACCUUGAUCGAACAUUUUUGAUAAGCAAAGCACCAACUGGUAAUUCUUAUUAUAAAAUUUUUUCAGCGACCAAUCAGGCCUUCACCCAAAACACUUCUGGGUGGAAAAUCACAAUAUUUGCUUUUCUUUUGUCUACUGUAAUUGGAUUGUCUACGACAGGAAUAAUCAGUUUUAAAUUAAGAGCAAAAUAGAUUCAAUUCCAUUCGCAAUUUCAGUUCGUGAAGGGAGGCCAUGACAAGAAAUGCGUUGCUUCUAGGAAUAUUGAAGAAACCGCUUCUCAAUCAUUUUUUGAGCAUUCCCCACGAAAAACAAAAUAUAUUUCGGAUAAUUUGCGUGGCGACUCACGGACUUCUAAAACGAUAGAUACGGAUUUAAUCAGUGCCGCUGAAAGUAUUCAUUUGGCGCCAUAUUUUAAAGACAAGGAAAUAAUAAAUACAUACAAACAUCAGUAAAUGAAUUUGGAUUCGGAAAUAGAAACAGAUGAUGGACAUGGCUCAGUAUCAAGUUAUGGGUAAUUGCAUGUGCCUAUUCAGUACAGUAUUCUGUCUUUAAAAGUUGAUUUAGAUCCGUCAACUGCAGAACUCUACGAUCCAAACAAGAUUAAAACUGACGAUGAAUAUGACUUUGUGGAAUUUGUUUGUAUUGAUGAAAAAAAAAAUUCAAAGGCCAGUCAGCCAGAGUAUGGUUCUUGUUCGCAGAUCAUUGAAACAAGAGAAAAAGCAGACAAUGGUGAUGAUAUAUAAGAAAUUUUUCUUUUAUUUUCAGAUAUUGGGAGAUAUAUUGGUAGUUUGGUACACGAUGUGUAAUAUUCCUUUAAAUAUUAAAUUUAUAUCAUAAAUAUCAAGAUAUUUAAGAUUUCAAUCAAAAAUUAUACCUCAAUAUCAAUUUCAUUUGUAAAUGAUUAUGUUAUAGCGUUGUUUUUGCAGUUUCAUAAUAGCGGAUAAUACAAUGUACCUAAACAAAAUGAAAAUAAUAUUUUGGUCAUGUACAAAAUCAUCUCGGAUUUUUUGUUGCAUGUAUACGAUGUUUAUGUGUAUAUUUGCCAAAUAUUAUAAUAUUAUUUAUUGACUAUUAUGAUGAAAUGCGUUAAAAUGAAUAAAUUGUUA